CCCCGCAGCCCAAGACAUGAAGUUCUCCCCUGGAGAAAAGCCUUUAUAUGUUCCUAGGCUGGAUAACAGCAAACCCAUAGAUAAUGUCCCAAGAGAUAUAAACCUGAAAGACAAGUUCAUAAAGCAUUUCACAGACUACAAAAGAUGUGCAAGAUUGCUAACACGGCUAGCGAUGAGUCCACUUUGCUCACAAUCGUAGACAUUGCAUGCUCAAAAUUUUGAAAGAGGGAUAUAUGUUUUGCCCAGGAAGUGCCUUCAAUUCACAGCAGUCACAUUAAGAACAUAGUAUUGUAAUUGUUUAUAGUAUUUUUAUUUGUGUUGUUGAUACUGUAUGUAUAUGAAAAUGCUGGCAGCCUUUAUUGGUUUUAUGAAAUAGAUUUUCUUUUUAUCUUCUUCUAAAAUGUAUUUUUAAGAAAACCAUAAUUUAAUAUUGAAUACACCAAUUUAUUGAAAUGACAUGUAUAUAAUUCAUCACAAUAAUUCAGAAAUAUACAAUUAUUUUCUUAAAGUUCUCACCUAAUGAAGAUAUUUUCUUCUCAUCAUGUCUGAAUUAAUCUCACUUAAUAUUAUUUGCUUUGUCAAUAUUACAUUCUGAGACGGUCCUACCAUGGUCGUUGAGAUAUUUAUUUCACUGUCCUUGUCUCCAUUGUAUUUAAUUUGGCACUUGAAUGAUUCCAGUCAAUGAAAACAUGUUGAAUGACGACGAAUGUAAUAAUGCACUGCAGUACUUAACAAUAAAAAAUAUUGAAGCACAGAAUAUUUGCAAUUAUUAUAGAAGAGCGUGUUGAGGGAAACAUCUCUGAGCUUCUGGUGUUGGGACAGUAAAUAGGGAAGCUGUAAGUUGGUAUAUAUCCCAAAUAGCACACUAUUCCCGAAGUAGUGCACUACAUAGGAAAUAGGGUGCUAUUUGGGACGUAAACUAUAAGCCCAUAGACGCCCACAACUGUUGGGUAGACCACGAGAUAUUAGAAGUGCAAUUAUUUAACUCUGACAACUCAGUCAGGACACUU